CGGUCCAGAUCUGGGGUCGAAGGGUUUGGGUGUCCCUGUAGGCAAUGUGCAGCUGUCCGUGUGUGUCGACAUGUCUUUCUGCAGCUUCUUCCGGGGCGAGGUUUUCCAGAAUCAUUUCGAGCCAGGUAUCUAUGUGUGUGCCAAGUGUGGCUAUGAGCUGUUUUCCAGUUGCUCAAAGUAUGCACACUCAUCCCCAUGGCCAGCAUUCACUGAGACCAUCCAUGAAGACAGUGUGUCCAAGCGCCCUGAGCACAAUCGACCUGAAGCUUUGAAGGUGUCCUGUGGCAAGUGUGGCAAUGGGCUAGGCCAUGAGUUCCUGAAUGAUGGCCCCAAGCGAGGGCAGUCCCGAUUCUGAAUAUUUAGUAGCUCACUGAAGUUCAUCCCUAAAGGCCAAGGAACUCCUGUUUCCCAGGGGCACUAGGUGAGCAGUGCCCUACUCUUCCCAUGAAGACUCCUCCUUGGCAGGUGGAGCAUUCCCUUACAGCCUUGGAGCUUAGGUUUGAGUGCCGUGUGGGUCACAGACAGCAGAAGGCAGGUUGGGACGUACAGGUACUUAAGAGAGUCUUGACCCUUGUGGGGUGUCAGAGACCCAAUCAUGUCAGAGAAACUUUCUAACUAUGGGCCAGGGGAAAAGGUGUCCAGAGGGUCCUAUGAAGAUCAUGGUCAAGCCAGAUGUGCCCCAGGCCCCCAUACUAAGGAGACCAAGAAGUAUGACUUCCUUCCAAGCCCCACAAAGCUGCCUCCUGGAGACCCAGGCACAGCCCCAUACAUUGCAAGGCCAGCUCCUGGGUACAGGGUGCAUCUUGAGUGUGUGAAAGAAAGGCGUAAAUCACCAUACCCAGGUAAUGUGUUCAUCACCCAUACCCUGUGCCCUGGAAAAACUUCCCAUGCACUUUUAGGCAGAUCAGACUCUUCUUGAAGCAUGAUGCUUAUGCUCUUAGUUUGCUGUUCCUUUUUCCCCAGUUACUUUCAAAGUGUCAGAAUCCCUCUAAAAGCUCUGCCCCAGUGGCUCUCUCCUUCCUUGGAUUGCAGGUCCUUGAUAGUUUCUUGCAGGUCUCACCCCAUCUGAGUUAAAAGCCUCCUCAAUGCCACACCAAUGCCACAGCACACCGAUCUCAUACUCUUCCCAAGUACCUCCCUACAGGUCCACGUAAAGGAAAGUAUUGGAAUGAAUGUCCUUUAAGCUACUCAACCCAGGCUUGCUCCUGUAGGGCCACAGUCUGAGGACAAGCAGCAGAUGUGCAUCGUGUGCCUGCAUGAGUGUGUCUGUGGUCUAGGAGGUGAAGGGACCCAGGACCUUCAUUACCCUGGCCUUGGACACUAGGGCCCUGGUUAACAGAACUUGGGAGAAAACAGCACAAGGAAGAUGAUAUCCCAGUAUCAUCAAGAGACUGCUGAAGAGGGGCCUGGGGUUGCCUUCAGAUAAGCCAUCACACCUCCAACUUACCUGUAUUCUUGUAAAACAGGGAAUAUUUUUAUGGUUCA